AAAUUGAAUACUGCUUUGAGUGGCCCGCACGAGGGGCUGCCGCAGCCUUGCGGCGUGUAUCGUGUGGGAUGAAAAGGGAACCCGGUGAAAAUCCGGGACGGACGCCGCCGCUGUAAGGGUACGUUCGGCCAGUGACGAAAGUCAGCCAUUGUAUCGGAUCGGAUACGAUAAGGCGGGCCGAUGAGAAGUGUACCUAAGUCAGAAGACCUGCUUGAAGUAUAUCCUCCACC
rnacentral:ncRNA from 17 species